UACGAAGGUGGCAAGCGUUACUCGGAAUUACUAGGCGUAAAGGGCAGGUAGGUGGUUUGAUAAGUCUGUUGUGAAAGCUCCCGGCUUAACUGGGAGAGGUCAACAGAAACUAUCGGACUUGAGUAUAGGAGAGGGUACUGGAAUUCCCGGUGUAGCGGUGAAAUGCGCAGAGAUCGGGAGGAACACCAAUGGCGAAAGCAGGUACCUGGACUAUUACUGACACUCAGCUGCGAAAGCUAGGGGAGCAAACAGG
rnacentral:rRNA from 1 species